rnacentral:lncRNA from 1 species
AUGACCUCUCCUCUGCCUUGGACUCCAAGUCCUCUUCUGUUGAGGACGAGUUAGGAGGAGGGGAAGAAGGAAGAGGAGGAUGAAGAUGAAGACGACCAGGCAGAGAGAGAAAAACUACCGCUCUAUGCCAGCAGGUUCAAGGAGCUGAGUGGGCAGCUCCAGUCUGGGGGGAAGGUGGACCCUAGUCCCCUACAGGUGCUGGUCUCCAGCCUGGUCCAGCAGGGCCUGGCCUCAGCAGAGGGCCCUGACAUGGAGCAGUACCAGAGGAAGGUACGGGAGUGGGAGGCAGAGAGGCAGCAGCUCAUCAGAAGAGAGAAGGAGAUGAGGGAGAGGGCUGAGGGAGAGGGCUGAGGAAGAGAGAGAGGCCCGUCAGGCAGCCAAGGCAGCCGCACAAUAGCGCUGAACACACAGCUGGAUGGUGUUCAUGGUGCAUUCCUUUCAGUGUAUACCACCACAAGGCAUCAAUAAUAUUACUGGUACUUUUUCAUAACCUGUGGGGUCUCUACAUCGUCUGCAGUGAAACAUACAUGAAAAGUGAGGGUCGUUUUUGAAAUAUAUAAUAUAAUCUGUUGUCUCCUGAAAUCAGUUUAUUUCAUGUAACCUUUUUGUUGGUGUCUUUUGUACAAAUGCCAUUCACAGUUUAGCAAUGUACCGUGAACAAGAUGUCAACUCCCCAUGAUAGAAGUUUGUCUGUAUUAAAUUAUCAUGAUCAACAAAUAAUUAUGAUUCUUGACUUGCUUUAUACUCAAAUAUGAACAAAUCAGAGAGCUUAGUUUGUAGUUACAUGCAUUGUUACACAUAAGACUCGUAACCUCUAUUUCAUCCUUAGCUUCGUUUUCUUGAGAUUUCUGAGUUUUCUUCGAAAAUAUGUUGUAUUUCCUGUUGUGGACAGCAACUUGAUGUUUUUGGUCUAGCUCCAG